GCCAGCCCCGUACUCCCGCCAGUGCCUGGUCUCCCGUGGGCCCGCGGGGCUCUGCAGUUCGCUGGCGGCCGAGCCUUGUGAGCGCUAAGCCGGGAGGAGGGCGCAGUCAGGGCGCACAGCUCUGAGCGCGCCCCUACCCGGCUCGGGCCCGCAGCAGCCCGGACUGUCCGAGAGCCUCCCCGCAAGCAAGGCUGUGCGCCUCCCUCUGAGCGCACCUCCUGGCCACAACGCCGCCUGCGCUUCUCCAGCCCAGGCCGGAAGCCCUAUGCUGCCUUCCGAAGCCGGACUUUCUGGAAGCCCACCUCCAUAUGCUCACCAGCCCACCCUCCUACGCUGGUCAGAGUGAGAUUGCUAACCUCAAGACCCCAUUCAAUGCCAGCUUUCAACUACUGCUGAAGACCAAUGUAGGUCCCAGGAUAGAAGAACCGCAGAGUAUCCGGAGCUGGCCGACCCCAGACUGAUUCUCAACAGGUGGCUGGAGUCAAUGCUCUAGAGAUGGGGCCUCACCUUCCAAGGUGUCUUCACUCCCAGAGGGCCCGGGCUCUCUGCCUCAGCCCAACACUGGGCUUGCGCUCAGAGAGGAGGUAUUCCGACGGAAA
rnacentral:lncRNA from 1 species